AACGAACGCUGGCGGCAGGCUUAACACAUGCAAGUCGAACGCCCCGCAAGGGGAGUGGCAGACGGGUGAGUAACGCGUGGGAACAUACCCUUUUCUACGGAAUAGCUCUGGGAAACUGGAAUUAAUACCGUAUACGCCCUACGGGGGAAAGAUUUAUCGGGGAAGGAUUGGCCCGCGUUGGAUUAGCUAGUUGGUGGGGUAAAGGCCUACCAAGGCGACGAUCCAUAGCUGGUCUGAGAGGAUGAUCAGCCACAUUGGGACUGAGACACGGCCCAGACUCCGACGGGAGGCAGCAGUGGAGAAUAUUGGACAAUGGGCGCAAGCCUGAUCCAGCCAUGCCGCGUGAGUGAUGAAGGCCUUAGGGUUGUAAAGCUCUUUCACCGAUGAAGAUAAUGACGGUAGUCGGAGAAGAAGCCCCGGCUAACUUCGUGCCAGCCGCCGCCGUAACAC
rnacentral:rRNA from 1 species